rnacentral:rRNA from 1 species
GUAUCGGAACGUGCCCAGUCGUGGGGGAUAACUGCUCGAAAGAGCAGCUAAUACCGCAUACGACCUGAGGGUGAAAGCGGGGGAUCGCAAGACCUCGCGCGAUUGGAGCGGCCGAUAUCAGAUUAGGUAGUUGGUGAGGUAAAGGCCCACCAAGCCGACGAUCUGUAGCUGGUCUGAGAGGACGACCAGCCACACUGGGACUGAGACACGGCCCAG